rnacentral:piRNA from 1 species
UUCGUCUAAAACUGUAAAUUC